AGCAGGGUCAAGGUCCAGGCAGGGGGAGCUCAGAGGCAUCGGGCAGCUGAGCUGUGCCCCACACAGCACCAUGAAGCUGGGGCUGCUCUGUGCCCUCGCCAUGGCCCUCCUGGCCAUGGCCAUGGCUGACCUCAAAGACUCCAAGAAGGGAAAAAUGCUCACAUGGAACAGAGAGGACAGGAAAGGAGGAGCAGCGGUGGCCAAGCACAGCCCUGCGCCAUGAUGGAGCUGGGGGUCCCACCACCCCCUGACUGCACAGCAGCCCUGAGGGGAGCCAGGGGGUCCUGCUGUGCCUCCAGCAUGAUGGGGCUGCCCAGCCGCCCCAGAGUGCUCCUGGGGGGCAGCACCCCCACCUGCCACACGAAGCUGCCAAAUAAAGCCACCAAACCAGC
rnacentral:lncRNA from 1 species